ACGGACACAUCAUGUUGAAACACCGGUUCUCGUACGAUCAGUGAAAUUAAGCAACGUCGAGCUUGAUCAGUACCUAGAUGGGUAACCGUUUCGGAAUCCCGAGUGCAGU